rnacentral:precursor_RNA from 13 species
CCAACCACUGGUCCCAUGCAGCACGGUGUAGAGGGGUCAGGUGUCAUACUGUGUGACAAUUGCCUAUGCCGCAUGGCGCAUGACCUUUGUUCACAGUGCUGUGUCUCUCCGGCUAGGAAUA